rnacentral:rRNA from 1 species
UUGACCCUACGGGAGGCAGCAGUGGGGAAUAUUGCACAAUGGGGGGAACCCUGAUGCAGCGACGCCGCGUGAAGGAAGAAGUAUUUCGGUAUGUAAACUUCUAUCAGCAGGGAAGAAAAUGACGGUACCUGACUAAGAAGCCCCGGCUAACUACGUGCCAGCAGCCGCGGUAAUACGUAGGGGGCAAGCGUUAUCCGGAUUUACUGGGUGUAAAGGGAGCGUAGGCGGCGAUGCAAGUCAGAAGUGAAAGCCCGGGGCUCAACUACGGGACUGCUUUUAAAACUGUGUUGCUAGAUUGCAGGAGG